UCGAACGAGAACGGGACUUCGGUCCUUAUUAGAGUGGCGCACGGGUGAGUAACGCGUAGAUAACCUACCCUUCAGACUGGGAUAACCCUGAGAAAUUAGGGCUAAUACCGGAUAAGACUGAGACUCAGGUGAGUUUCAGUUGAAAGUUCCGGCGCUGAGGGAUGGGUCUGCGUCCCAUUAGCUAGUAGGUAGGGUAAAAGCCUACCUAGGCGACGAUGGGUAGCGGGUCUGAGAGGAUGAUCCGCCACACUGGAACUGAGACACGGUCCAGACUCCUACGGGAGGCAGCAGUGGGGAAUAUUGCACAAUGGGCGCAAGCCUGAUGCAGCGAUGCCGCGUGAGUGAAGAAGGCCUUAGGGUCGUAAAGCUCUUUAUCUCUGGGAAGAUAAUGACGGUACCAGAGGAAUAAGCACCGGCUAACUACGUGCCAGCAGCCGCGGUAAUACGUAGGGUGCAAGCGUUGUUCGGAAUCACUGGGCGUAAAGGGCGUGUAGGCGGAGAAGUAAGCCAGAGGUGAAAGCCCGGGGCUCAACCCCGGAGGGUCUUUUGGAACUGCUUUUCUUGAGAGGGUUAGAGGUUAGCGGAAUUCCUGGUGUAGCGGUGAAAUGCGUAGAUAUCAGGAGGAACACCGGAGGCGAAAGCGGCUAACUGGGGCCAAUCUGACGCUGAGGCGCGAAAGCAUGGGGAGCAAACGGGAUUAGAUACCCCGGUAGUCCAUGCCGUAAACGAUGGAUACUAGAUGUCUAGGGAAUCGACCCCCUGGGUGUCGCAGCUAACGCAUUAAGUAUCCCGCCUGGGGAGUACGGUCGCAAGACUAAAACUCAAAGGAAUUGACGGGGGCCCGCACAAGCGGUGGAACA
rnacentral:rRNA from 1 species